UGAGCAUCCAUAUUUUUAUAUUAAUGUCCCACACAAGUGGCUUGUGAGAUCAUCCACCCUCCCCAUCAAGCAUACAUAGGAUAUGCCAGUCUAUAUGGAACAUUGAUCUCUAACUUAAUGCUUUUAUGAUUAGGAAUGUUUAAGAUUUAAGAUUUUAGAAUUUUAGAUCUCAUUGGCAUGAACUCUUUAUGGUCCUAAAAUAUUAUCCUAAUCUAUGAGUCUCAUCAUAAUCUUAAAUAUAAUAAGAUACAGCUAAAAUGAUGAAUCAUAAAAUAUCUAAUUUUAUUUAUAAAUGAAUAAUAUCAUUAAAAAAAAUUCAUCGAAAUCACUCAUGUGAUUUCUUGUAAGGCACUAUUCUUUCAAAAGUCAUGA
rnacentral:lncRNA from 1 species